GGCUGUACUGAGAAGAGGUCCUGACUCAGAACUGGAGGACAUCAUGGAAGGCUUCCUGGAGGAAGUGCCAUCUAGGCUGAAACCUAAAGGAUGAGUAGAACUAACCAGAUGAAAAGGACAGCACUGGAUUUGACUCAUCCCUGCAUCCCCCGAGCACCUCGUGGGUGCCGUAAAGGCAGCUGGGUUGAUGAUGACUGAGUGAAGGAGCGCCUGAGUGGAUGAGCCACUGAGUGAAUGCUGAGGGAUCUAAAGCCUUGGGACUUCUGGAUCUGCAAGUGGUCCCUGUUUUGGUAGCUAUUGACUGACGAGGGGCUCUUCGGCCCACAGGUGACUGCUGUAGCCUUGAGUGAGGACCUCGGCCAAAAAGAAGGCUCCUACCGUGGCUGUUUGCUGAUGGUCUUCGCAGAGCCUGCUGUCUUUGAGCUUCCUGAGAGAGGGACACUACCCUCGCUUAGGUGAGUGCUCCAGGUCCAUGGGGCCUGAUGCUCUGUCCCUGGUCUGGCUUCCGCCCAUGUAUACAUUUGCACUCUUGAUGGUGGCUUAGGAUCUGCUUCCAACAAGUCUGCCAAAUGUGCUCUGUAACACAGGGGGACCCUCCAAAUGUGCAUUGCUUUCUGUCAGUCUCAGGAAACCCAUUCCCUUCCCAGCCUAUCUCAGAAACGGAGAGUGGUGGCUCAGUGGCCUCUGGCUCUGGCACAGCCCCUUGAUGGGUCCACAGUGGCCCCUCUGCCCUUGGCUCUGUUGGCUUCCCAACAGAUGUUCCUCUUCACAUGUAGUCCUAAGAACUCAAUCAGUUUAAAAAC
rnacentral:lncRNA from 1 species